rnacentral:rRNA from 1 species
AUUGAACGCUGGCGGCAUGCCUUACACAUGCAAGUCGAACGGCAGCACGGGAGCAAUCCUGGUGGCGAGUGGCGAACGGGUGAGUAAUAUAUCGGAACGUGCCCAGUCGUGGGGAUAACGUAGCGAAAGCUACGCUAAUACCGCAUACGAUCUACGGAUGAAAGCGGGGGAUCGCAAGACCUCGCGCGAUUGGAGCGGCCGAUAUCAGAUUAGGUAGUUGGUGAGGUAAAGGCUCACCAAGCCGACGAUCUGUAGCUGGUCUGAGAGGACGACCAGCCACACUGGGACUGAGACACGGCCCAGACUCCUACGGGAGGCAGCAGUGGGGAAUUUUGGGACAAUGGGCGCAAGCCUGAUCCAGCAAUGCCGCGUGCAGGAUGAAGGCCUUCGGGUU